GCCCGGCGGCUCUCACUGGAAGACUUAAGCUGCGCGUCACAUCAACACUCCUGAAAUACUGAAGUAAAAGACAAAAAAACUUUUCGUCAUAGGGUUGAUGUUUCUCAUAUGAUACUAUAACUCCUCUGAGGUGGGACGGUGUGAGCGCUGAGGGUGCUAAUGUUACAAAGAGAGGCCCAUUUGCCCAGUGCUGGGCUCUGGCUUACACAGAGCACGCUGUACCUGAGCAGGUCUGAUGUGAUGUGCGGGAGAGCCGUCCUUGUGGCACAACACCUCAUCCCUCUGUAGCCAACGGAAGGAUGGAAGUACGCAGUCGUUCCAGGUCACAGUUCUGCCGCCCCUCGCCUUGAGUUUAAACCGUGUGGGUGAGAAACCCCCUGCAUGCUGAUCCUGCAGAGCACUGAGCACAGGUGGCUCUGGGAAAGCUGAGGGAGCGUCUUCAUUCUGAAGCCCUCCUGGUGUGAUCUCAACUGGAGCAUGGUUCUCACCGUCUCUGCAUGGAAACCAUGCCACUGCUGCCCAGACCAGCUGUGCUCUCACCCUGCCACCCCAAAACCUGGCACUGGGUUAGGGCUCGGUAAAGGGUUCUUGAAUCAGUGGGGCUGUUCCAGCUGAAUCUAUUCAGUAGUUCUGGUUUUCUUGCACCAUUUGCGUUAGUGUUCCAUUCAGAGCGAUCUGAACCAAUAGUUAAAAACAUCACAAAGAACUGAGGGAAAAAAAAAAUACUGGAAAUCAAGUUUAAGACAAACAAAUCCAAGUUAUUUGUGCCUAAAUGUUGCUUUCUUAUCUGUCACCCUACGCAAACAUUUCCUGAUGAAUCACCUUCUAGAGUAGUCUCUGAUCUCAGAGUAUCUCCGUUCCCUGCCUCACCUACGUUUGGCCUUGUAAUGACUAUGUCUGAUGUCCUAAGAUGAUUCCUUCUUAGGUAGGCAAAAGCCUGCUGUUAGGCAAAAUAAUGAAAGAGCAAAAUGUUAGAUUAUUCUGCAAAGAUUACAAAUGACAUCUGUCAUGAUGUAGCCUUGUUUGUGAAACUCUAUGGGAAGAAUCUAAAGAUACACAAGGUAAAUCCUCCAGCUCUGAAUCAAACAACUUCACGCUGAAGUUGAGAGCCUCUGUCCUUCCCUCCAUCCUUUUUCCUGCACUGGAUGCUAGCCAUGAUACCAGAAGGAAAGCUGACCUUUCACUGAAGUUCCCAAACACCUUCUGUGCCACCUUUUGACCUGUGCUCCACUGAGCACACCAUCAAAGUCAGAGGUUAUGGAAAAAUUAUGAAGAAAGUGAAGGCUGAAUGAGACUACUAACCAAAGGGGAAGCAAAAGAUGAUCUUUGGACAUUCAGUUUGAACUGGGGCUCGGGAGGUCUGUGUUCACUCUCUAGCUUGACCACAGACUUCUUUUUUGACUUAGAGGGAAAAAUGGAAGCUGAGACUUGCCCUGUCCUGAAGAAAAGAACAGUGUUUUACGCAGUUGCCCAUCUUUAGGGACCACGUUAUGGGGAUUUCAAGGAACAGGAAAAUCUUCACACUAUAUUGUCACUACAAGACUAAAAACGUACUAAGCAAUCAAGUGUUAAGUAAAAUCCUGAAGGCCAAAAGAUGCAAGCCAUGAAACUUCAGCACACCGUUAUUCAACAAAGCGCUCGAGUUUUUCAUUGAGACUUGUGUGUGGACUUAACUGUUAGAGCUUACAACGCCUUGCAGGUAGCAGCAAAAGCUUAAAAUAAUGUUUUGCCCCACCGCCUAGCAGUGAGAUAGAAAGCACUGCUAUGCAACGCAAUGGUGGGAGAGUUUGGAAAUUGUUCCAGUGAGGAUGUCAGAGAAGUUGUUGAGAAAGAAUGGCUGAUGAAGAGCUGCCAAGCUGGAAUAUGAAAUAGCUUUUUAUAUUCCUUAGAAAGGUAACUGCUGCCUAACGCAUUGACCUUGGGCUGGAUUCCAGGUGUGAAAGGGUUUUGCUACGUCUUCUUCUCAACAUAAAGAGAAGUGACAGACGCAGAGGUAGCCAGGGAGCUGAGCAUGCACACAAGGGCAGUAGCUAUGACCUUGCCAUCUUUUGUGAAGAGGAGAAGACCCCAGCUAUGCAGGAAGGGCUGCUGGUCUUUGGUACUUAAUACACGGGUUAGAUGGAGCCCAGUGAUACCCCCAAAGCUGCUUUUCUUCCACUCUCAGGCAUUUGAUUUUGCUCAGACUAGAAAGAGAUUUGUCUGCAAGCGCAGUUUAUGAUAAUUAGGGGAAAAACAAGUUGGACAGGAUGCUGAAGAGAAAAUUGAGGCCUGGUAAUACGUGCAAACAGGGAGAGCUGUUGUUGUUUUUCAUCUUAGUGUUUUGUUUUUCAGCAGCAGAAGCUGUUGCGUUUCGCUUCCUCCAAGCAGGAGCUAAUAAUGAGCUACCAAUAACGAUCUACCGUGUGGACUAAUAAGGAGGCUGUCUUGCUAUUUUGUCAAAGCAUUUUUUUUUUCCUGAAAAAAGACCCUUGCAUAUAAUGAAGUGCUGUAAGUGGAAUGCUGCUUGGUGUCUGGGGUGCUUGGUUGCUCCUCCUUUUUCUAAGACAGGUAGAAAAGUAUGCUGGAAUUGUAAAAAUGAGUGAUCAUUUUACAGUAGAAGCGAAAAACCUGACAUCGAUGUGCAAGCAAGAUACACUAAGUUAUACACUAAGUCUGGAAUGCUUUUCCCUUGAGUCCUCUCUAUCCUGGGAGAAGUGCUAUAUCAAGGCAAUCUCCAUUCACGCUUGUACUGCUGGACCAUCACAAAGCAGCUGAAGCAAACUGGCAAAACUCCCUUCAGAGGUUGUCGACCACAUGGCUGCACAGGACCCUGCAAUGCUGUGCUUAAAAAAGCAAUCAAAUUCAAGUCAGCUUGCUUGUUGUGGGUAUUUUCUGGGAACUGUUUAUUACCAUGCCACAUCUGCUGACCAAUUUU
ensembl:lncRNA